rnacentral:rRNA from 1 species
AUUGGACCUGAUAUCAGGCAGAC